rnacentral:rRNA from 1 species
UUCCAGACUCCUACGGGAGGCAGCAGUGGGGGAUAUUGCACAAUGGGGGGAACCCUGAUGCAGCGACGCCGCGUGGGCGAUGGAGCGCCUCGGCGCGUAAAGCCCUAUCAGCAGGGAAGAAGAUGACGGUACCUGACUAAGAGGCCCCGGCUAAAUACGUGCCAGCAGCCGCGGUAAUACGUAUGGGGCAAGCGUUAUCCGGAUUUACUGGGUGUAAAGGGAGCGCAGGCGGCCUGGCAAGCCUGAUGUGAAAUACCGGGGCCCAACCCCGGGGCUGCAUUGGGAACUGCCAGGCUGGAGUGCCGGAGAGGCAGGCGGAAUUCCUAGUGUAGCGGUGAAAUGCAUAGAUAUUAGGAGGAACACCAGUGGCGAAGGCGGCUUGCUGGACUGAAACUGACGCUGAGGCUCGAAAGCGUGGGGAGCAAACAGGAUUAGAUACCCCAGUA